GGGUUCCUCUCAAAAGAGGAGAGAAACCCUAGCUUCCACAGGCCGUCCUUCUCUCUCCUCUCGUCAUCAGCGCCAUUUUUGGCAAUGUCACAAGCGCACCAUGUUUUCUCUAGGUCUGGCAUGGCCUAAUGGAGAAAAGCAUUAAAUUCUUCCGCCCUUUUUCACCAAACGCCACCCCAAACAACGUGUAACUUGUAUUUUAUUUGCCUUUUAGAUGAAUUAACGGUUAAUAGGUCUAAGAAACCUUAAUUGCUUCUGUUGUAUGCGAAUUUGAAUACUCGUCUCCCAUUGGUUCAUGAGGAACCGAAUGGAUUGAUCAAUUUUCCAUCAAAUAUGACCCUUUAUUGUUUGUUUGUUUGAAUCCUGACCUUGGAUUGUUGAUGGAAGGGCACCAUUCCACAAAAUUGUGGAAAGUCCCACAUCGGCUAAACUAGGUUUGGAUUCCAAAUUGGGGUUCUAUAUAAAGAACCCACAAUUCAUAGACACAGGGACCGAAUAUAAUCACAUAUUCACAAAAAUUCAAAAAUACCUAUGGUUAUAGCAAUUUGCUUGAAACCUAAUUUUUUUGGAUUAUUCAAAGUUUUAGAGUUUUUUUUUUGGUUGUGUGUGGCUAAGGUAGCGGUUAAGGAGCAAGAAGUGUCUCCAAAUCCAUUCUCGACUAGGCUGCGUUAAUAGAAGGCCGUACGUUCCUCGGCGCUAAUAUAUAUGGAUCGGGUUGCACGUUCCGCAGCACUAUAUUUAUGGAUCGGGUCAUACACUCCUCGGCACUAACAUAGAUAGAUCGGACUGUUCAAUCAGUCAGGCCAGCAGCCUAGCGUAGUGGGAUAUUAACUCAGCUGCAGUCAGUGCGCUCCACUUGGUUCGGAGCUACAGUUUCUUUUGGUAUGCCAUUUUGAUUCGUACAUAUGAGUAUGACGAGGCCUUGCCCUGUCCCCUCUACAGUUUAUGUUCUAUAGAGGUCUAAAGAUAGUUGUAUGUAGGUUGGAGGUUAUGUAGUCUUGUCAGCUCUUAUUUUUAUCAUACAGUAUAUGUAGCGGCCUAGCCGACUUGCACCAUUAUCUUCUGCACAUAUAUGUAUACACUGGUUGAAGUUCUUGGCGCAGCGUUUGUUAUGUUGCUAUUGCAGAAGUGUAUAGUUCAAUUAAAAAUCAUAUAGGGGCCACCAUGUUGGUCAGUGAGUUUCAGGUAUGAAUAUAAGUGUAACGACCCGUUUGGUCGUUAUAGUUUUUUGACCCAUUUAACCUUGUUGACCCUUUUCCCGAGUCGCAUUAGUAUGAUCUAUGACUUAAUGAAGACAUUAGGUUGGCUUCCUGUUAUAGCCCGUAUUUUGUACGUUCGGAUAAUUCAAGAUAAUUGCGAGAAGAUAAGGGCAAGACUAUUUUCCAAAAUUAUUUUAAUGUAUAAGUUGUUUAUUAGUAUGGAAAUGUUGAGGAAGGCUAAGGGUAAAAAGGGAAAUUCACAAGUGGUUUGUGGUAAUAUUAAGGAAGG